GAUGAACGCUGGCGGCGUGCUUAACACAUGCAAGUCGAACGAAGCAUUUAGAACAGAUUACUUCGGUUUGAAGUUCUUUAUGACUGAGUGGCGGACGGGUGAGUAACGCGUGGGUAACCUGCCUUGUACUGGGGGAUAGCAGCUGGAAACGGCUGGUAAUACCGCAUAAGCGCACAAUGUUGCAUGACAUGGUGUGAAAAACUCCGGUGGUAUAAGAUGGACCCGCGUCUGAUUAGCUAGUUGGUGAGAUAACAGCCCACCAAGGCGACGAUCAGUAGCCGACCUGAGAGGGUGACCGGCCGCAUUGGGACUGAGACACGGCCCAGACUCCUACGGGAGGCAGCAGUGGGGAAUAUUGCACAAUGGAGGAAACUCUGAUGCAGCGACGCCGCGUGAGUGAAGAAGUAAUUCGUUAUGUAAAGCUCUAUCAGCAGGGAAGAUAGUGACGGUACCUGACUAAGAAGCUCCGGCUAAAUACGUG
rnacentral:rRNA from 1 species